CUGAGUUGUUGACAUGAGCUGUUGCUGGUCCUCAAAACCAAGGGGGCAUGUGCACGCUCUGUUCACACAUCCACUCACACCUGUGCACCCACCGUAGUUCUAUGGUCUGGAGGACUUGCCGUCCUCUUCCCGUGGUUCUACGUCUUUACACAUACACCGUAGCGAAGUCUUAUGGAAUGUGCGCCGCGUUUAACGCAAUACAAUA
rnacentral:misc_RNA from 1 species